rnacentral:rRNA from 1 species
UACGAGUGCCCCAAGCGUUAUCCGGAAUUAUUGGGCGUAAAGGGUGUGUAGGUGGUCUUGUUAGUCUUCUGUGAAAUUCUUCGGCUUAACCGGGGGUCCGCAGGGGAAACGGCAGGACUAGAGGAUGCGAGAGGUGUGCGGAACUCGAUGGUGUAGGGGUGAAAUCCGUUGAUAUCAUGGGGAACACCGAAAGCGAAGGCAGCACACUGGCGCACUCCUGACACUGAAACACGAAAGCGUGGGUAGCGAAUGGG